ensembl:lncRNA
GCUUUGUUUCAGAGAGUGUUGGCUGGAUAUAAACUUAAAGAAAAUUGAUAUAAAAUCUCAUAACAUAAAGUUAACUAUUUUAAGUUCAUAGUUCAUUGGCAUUGAGUAUAUUUACAAUGUCCUGCAACUACCGCACCAUCCAAUUUCAAACCGUUUUCAUCUCCCAAAGGAAAGCCCUGUACCUAUUAGGCAGUGAGUUCUUGUCCUCCCCCUGUCCCCAGCCCCUGGCAAACACCAGUCUGCUUUUUGUCUCUAUGAUUUUCCUAUUCUGGAUAUUUCAUAUAAGUGGAAUCAUGUAAUAUGUGGUCUUUCACGAGUGGCUUCUCUCACUUAGCGGAAUGUUUUUGAGGUUCAUCCACGUUACAGCAUAUAUCAGCACUUUGUUCCUUUUCAUGGCUGAACAAUAUUGCAUUGUGUGGAUACACCACAUUUUGUUUCUCCGUUCACCUGUUGAUGGACAUUUGGGUUGUUUCCACCUUUUGGCUAUUGUGAAUGGUGCUGCUAUGAUCAUGCGUGUGCAUGUCUCUGAGUCUCUAUUUUCAAUCCUUUGGGGUAUAUACCUAGGAGUGGAAUUGCUGGGUCAUAGGGUAAUUCUUUUAGGAACUGCCAAGCUGUUUUGCACGGUGCUGCACAAUGUACACUUCCCACCAGCAAUGCGUGUGUCCCAAUUUUUGCAAUCUUCAUCACCACUUGUUAUUUUCCAUUUUUUCAAUUAUUCUAGUCCUCCUAGUGGGUACGAUGUGGUAUCUCGGUGUGCUUUUGACUUGCAUUUCUCUAGUGACGGAUGGUGGGGAGCAUCUUUUCACACGCUGUUGGCUGUUUAUAUAUCUUCUGUCUGUAAACUUUUAAUGAAAGGCAUUUUGUUGUCAUCUAACUGCUUUGGGAAACAUUCUCAGGAGGUGAGAAACUCAACACACCUCCACCUUGCAAUCUUUCCCCUCUGACCUCUAAGUAGACGGAGGGCAGAGGGAGGUGGAUGCUGGGGAGACAGAAGGACUAAGUGCCAAUCGGCCCCUCUCCUUCAGUCCUGCUUGUCUCCUACCGGGCAGGCGGCUUUGGAAACCGUAUUCCGCUCUGGGCAGGACGUCCCAGCUUUUCCAAAGCUCAUACACUGUUUUUUUCUGACUCUUUGGUUGUCUGGCGUCCUUCUGAAUAAGGGUUGGCCGAGGAAAGACGGGGCACAGCUGUGCGGGUAAUGAAGUCUGGGUCCCCUGAGCCGCCCGGGAUAUUGCUUCAAUAAAGGGGCCUUCCGACGUCAGGCUGUAGCUUUAUGCUUCAUUCUCUUUCAUCUCCUCAUGGGAAACUUCAGGGCUAUUUAGCUCUUCCUGUGUCUCGAGCUAACAAUUCUAGACAAACCAUGGAUCUGUGGAGCAGGAGAUGGUGUGUUCUCAGCCUUAGAUAGGUACCAGAUAGAAAAUCAAAAGUAAACAUCCACCUUCUUCUCAAGCCAUCAGAGCGUGGCAUGCCCCUGCUUACAAACCUUCCACAGCCGUGCCUUUCACUGACGUGAAAGCCAUGAGCAUUUCUGGAGGCCGGCGUGCUGUGGCCCCUGCCCAGCUCCUCAAUAGCUUCUACUGCUCAAGGCCCCACCCUCGAAGCCCCUGUACCACCGGCCCACUUUCUAUUUGAGCCCACCUGGCUGUUCUGCCUCCGCCCCGAGGGUGAGGCUGUGGAGACUCCCGUGGCCAGCGCCGCGUCCAGCCCCUCUCAGUGAGGACUGCUUUCCUUCCCUCCUGCGAGUCUGGCUCCUCCUCAUCCUUCAGGCCCGAGCUCUUCAGAGGGGUCUUGCCUCACCCAGCUUACCAAAAAUAGCACGUCUCUCCCUUCGGUUCCUGAUAAAGAAAAAACUGUUCUGAUGGUUGUUAAGAUGAAAAGCAAGAGCUCCUGAGGGCAGAGGUUUCCCUCUUCUCAGCCCACACUCUGCGUCUGGAGCAGUGCUGGCGGCCGCGGCAGCAAGCGUGUGCCCGCCGUGGGGCUUCACCGAAAUUCAAGGAAACUCACCAAGGAAACCUGGUGGGCCCCUACUGUGGUGUGGAGUGGGCACGGACAACAGUAUUGAAGCCAGUGUAGACGAGCAGCUGUGUUUCACGUACAACAUUGCCAUUGUUCUGUUUCUAUAGCUUGAUAGUCAAGGUGUCUUUAGUUUCCAACACUGUUAGGAGCUGGACUCCAGCAAGCGUGGGUUGUAUAUUUCACAGUUGUUCUUGGUGCCACAACCGUGCAGGUGCGCCUGCGAGCCCUGCACCGGUGCCGGCCAGCACCACGUCAGCUGUGGUCUAAGGCUGCUUGUGCUUUGUUGAGAACGAGGCCACGGUUCUCAGCAGUGUUUUUGAGAUGUUGGUCCCUUGAAACGCAUCGAAAAAACCCUACGGCUGCCUACAGAAUUACUUUUGAUGUUUAGCACGUGGCUGCCAAAAAUUUCCCAACCAUCAAAACGUUUUCAGCAGUGUAGAUGUUUACAAUGUGAACUCGAUUUAUUAAACUUGUUUAUUUAACUUUUUAAGCGAUUUCUUAAACUUUCGUUUUGGUCUUCACGAUGCCAAAGACCAGGUUCAUGGAAUAUUCACUUUUUAAGUGCUGGCUACAGUGUCCUUGAGAGAAUUUGAGUGCGCAUGUUGAUCUUUAUUUUAAAAGGGAGAGUGAAGCAUUGCAGCUGACUGUGGUAAUUGUUGAGCACGUCAAAUAAAACGCAAACGUCGGUAGAGAAAUAUGAGGGAGAGAUUUCUAACACCCCCGCUCACUGUGAGUUAGGGAAGUUACUCAACUUCUGUCUCAGUAUUUUAUCUGUCAAAUGGGCCAAUUUCUGUCUGAUUACCAUGCAAGAUUUUUAUGAGGUCCCUACUAGAUAAAAUCCAGGAAGAUUCAGUGACUUGUCUGUGGUCGCAUAGCUGGGCAGUAGCAGAGGCAGCGUCUGGGCUGAGGUGUGUCCGGUGCAAACUCACGCUUGCUCACGCUGGCGUGUGUCAGUGCCCUGCACACAGGUGCUCAGGGAGAACGGGGCUGGGUUUCACUUAAUGGUUAGACUGGAAAACCAGGUGGCUUAGCCUUCCCCGAGAGAGCAGACCUGAGGCAAGGUUUAACCACAGGCGGGAAGUAGGAGGUGGUACCCUGGGGCAGACGCAGAUGGAAGAGGGCCGGUCACAUGGCACUGCACAUGCCCUUCUCCACAUGGAGCCGCUAGAAGACACUUGGUCACUGUGCUGGUGCCCCUGCUUGGCCACAAGGGACGACCUCGGAUAGGCCGCUGAGAGAAUUGUGCUUUGGGGAAGGGACAGUAGGUUUUCUGCCACUGGUCAAUGUUGGCUUCAUGGAGAUUUUCCUGUCCUUCCCUCUGGGUUGUCAUCUACCCUCUCAGCUGCCACUUGGAAGGCUGGAUCCUAUGAAGUGGAGGUGAGAGUCAGAGACUGAGCAACUGCUGGGGGCAAGGCAGAUGCCUUGGUUCUGACCAGGACGUCGGCCCCUGGGAGGAGCGGAUUGUGUAGGGAGGAGGAGGAGGUCUGGGUGGGCCAGGCCCUCGGAGUCAGAAGGCCCUGGUGUUAGCUAAAGCAGAGAAGCCAUGGGGUGGAGCCGGGGGAGGCCGAAGGAAUGGAGGAGCUGCGGGAGGCCCGUGUGAGGCUGCCUAAGGGAGGGGCCUGCCCUGCUGAGCGUCAGACACGGCCCCUCCUGAGGCUGCCUAAGGGAGGGGCCUGCCCUGCUGAGCGCCAGACACGGCCCCUCCUGAGGCUGCCAGGGAGACCCGGACCGACUGGUGAGCACAACCCUGUCCUGGCAGCAGUCUGGCGGAGCACUACGCUUUCUCCAGUCUCAAGAGCAUCAGGCCUGGAUUUUUAAGUAGCUUCAGGUGGAAAAUGUCUUCUGGGACUUUCAAGUGAUAGGAAAGGUGCCGCAGAGGUCAAAUGCAGCCCACAUGUGGCUGUUGGCAUAAUCAGAGCUGGUGACUGUUUAUAUGAUUUAUUAGAACUUUGGCCAAAAACAUACACUUUGUGAAACAGCUUUCUCACCCAGCCACUGGACUGCCAGAAGUUCCAUCUUGCACACUGAGUCAAGGCAAACGUGUUAUGUGGAGCAGUCACUGGCCAGUCUGUACUCCUCUUUCGUUUUAAAGAUCCGGCGUCUUAUGCUUCAAGCACAGUGCUGGGUGCUAGACGUGGAAGGAAGGUGUGAGGCAGCACGACGUGCGGUCCUAGGGUCUGCAAAAGGUCCUUUAGGACAGAGGCAAUAUGUGAUUGCUGGGGGAGCCCACAGCAGGAGUCAAUCAGCUAUGCGGGAAGUGCCAGACCUGGAAGGGCACUUGAGAACCCAACCCCCUUACUGCACAAAGAGAAGGUCCUUUGCCAAGUUCACGAAUCUGGACGGAGAUCGUGUAUGACCAGGCUUCGCAGCCCCCGUUCGCUGGCCCUCCUCCUGCACUGCUGGGCAGCCACUCGAAGUCCUUUCUACGGGGCCUGGAAAAACAGAAAGAGAAGAAGACAGAGAGGGAAAAGGAGGAGAAGGUGGAGGAGGAGGAGGGGGAGGGGGAGAAGAGCAACAACAACUCAACGAUGACACCAGGACCUCAGAGGCUCUCUUCGAAAUCCUCUCCCUCCGGACCUGGCCGUGCUCUCACUGCGAUGAGGGCAGCCUUCUCCAAGCACAGCCUCUGCAUGUGUUCCCCAGGCCAUAAAG